CUACGGGGCGCUGCAGUGAGGAAUUUUGCGCAAUGGGGGGAACCCUGACGCAGCAACGCCGCGUGAGUGAUGAAGGCUUUCGGGUCGUAAAGCUCUGUCAAGUGGGAAGAACCUAUGCAGUGUUAAUAUCACUGUAUACUGACGGUACCACUGAAGGAAGCACCGGCUAGCUCCGUGCCAGCAGCCGCGGUAAUACGGGGGGUGCAAGCGUUAUUCGGAAUCAUUGGGCGUAAAGGGCACGUAGGCGGCUUGGUAAGUCAGAUGUGAAAGCCCGGGGCUUAACCCCGGAAGUGCAUUUGAUGCUGUCAGGCUUGAGUAUGGGAGAGGGAAGUGGAAUUCCUGGUGUAGAGGUGAAAUUCGUAGAUAUCAGGAGGAACACCGGUGGCGAAGGCGACUUCCUGGACCAAUACUGACGCUGAGGUGCGAAGGCGUGGGUAGCAAACAGGAUUAGAUACCCCCGUAGUC
rnacentral:rRNA from 1 species